rnacentral:lncRNA from 1 species
CAGCAUCCCCAGCCCAGCAGUCUCUCCGCCGCCUGCCUAUGACAACGUGGCAUAUAUGCCCAAGGAGUCAUCAGAGUAGGAGAUUGCAACUUCUGCAGGUUGGAGUCCAGGCUUCCCACUCUACCCAGCGUCUCUCUACUCUCACCUUGUCUGAUCUGAGGCAGAGGUUCCCCAGCGAGGCUCACCAAGCCACGUGCACUGUGUCACUGAGUGAAGUAUUCCAUCCGUUUCCCAUUUCCUCCAGUAGUGUCUUUCCAAAAAAGACAUAAAGCUGGUGUCCAGGGUAGUGUCCUUAAGCAGCACCACCCCACCCCUGGCCCUGUCACCUGGUAUAGACAUCCUGUUUGCUCCGCUGCAGUCCUCUGCUCAUCAUGGGAAACCUUGGCUUCACAGAGGUUUCACGGGUUUGCCUUCAAGAUCAUUAAGCACAGAGAACUCAGAAUGUUCCAGAAUGGACUGGCAUGUCAGAGGCACAGAGCUCGGGCCCUACCGCACAGCAAGGCCUGACCGCCAGGCUCCCAAGUGGCUCUGUCCUUUGUCAUCUGCUGUUACAUCUUUGGGUUUUCAUUUUCCUGAAACUAAAGUGUUAAACUACAUGACAUAAAACUAAUCCAGAACCUCUU